CAAUAGCGUAUAUUAAAGUUGUUGCAGUUAAAAAGCUCGUAGUUGGAUUUCGGAACGGGCCAGUUGGUCCGCCGCAAGGUGAGUUACUGACUGGUCUGUUCUUCUUCGCAAAGACUGCGUGUGCUCUUCGUUGAGUGGGCGUAGGAUUUACGACGUUUACUUUGAAAAAAUUAGAGUGUUCAAAGCAGGCUAUCGCUUGAAUACAUGAGCAUGGAAUAAUGGAAUAGGACUUUGGUUCUAUUUUGUUGGUUUCUAGGACCGAAGUAAUGAUUAAUAGGGACAGUUGGGGGCAUUCAUAUUCCAAUGUCAGAGGUGAAAUUCUUGGAUUAUCGGAAGAUGAACUUCUGCGAAAGCAUCUGCCAAGGAUGUUUUCAUUGAUCAAGAACGAAAGUUAGGGAUCGAAGACGAUUAGAUACCAU
rnacentral:rRNA from 1 species